CAGAAACAGGGCUACCCACCAAUCGCGUGGUGACAGAGGAGAGAGGGUCCUAAGGACAGAUGAGGAUGUUCUUGAUUUUGUACUCCAAGUAAAUGUAUUUAAGAAUGGUUACCCCAACCUCUGAGAAAUCUGAAAGUGGCAGCUGGAAAUGCCAAGGACAGAACCCGAAGUCCCUCCGUAGGGGAGGAAAGAACUUCCUGGCUCUUCACGUACGUUGGGAAGGAGGAGAGUGGGGUGUGACCUUAUACGUGGUAACUCUCCCAGGGCAGACUCCAGUUUAUUCAUCUAUAAGGAGAACACAUGGCAACACUGAAUUGACAGAGUUCAAACACCAAAGGGGCAUUUGAGAACUGGAGCUGCCCGAUGGCAAGAGGGCACUUGUAUCAGAAGCUUCACUGCACAGGCCUACAAUAAAUGGUGCCUUGACAUC
rnacentral:lncRNA from 10 species